rnacentral:lncRNA from 1 species
AGGAUUUGGCCAAAUGCCGAAAGAAGAAAAGAAGAAAAAUAAUUUAUAAGUUAAAAUAAAUUAAGAAUGAAUACUAAAUAAAAUUUAAAAGAAUAAUUAAAGAAGAAAUAAAAAUAAAAAUAUUUGUGGGUUGUCUCCCACGAAGCGCUUUGUUUAAUGUCGCAAGCUCGACAUAAAAACUAUCAAAUAUAAUCUAUAAAUUCUGGAGGCAUUACGUCUAAGUGCAGGACUUGCGAAUCUUC